UACGUAGGGUGCGAGCGUUAAUCGGAAUUACUGGGCGUAAAGCGUGCGCAGGCGGUUUUGUAAGCCAGAUGUGAAAUCCCCGGGCUCAACCUGGGAAUGGCAUUUGGGACUGCAAGGCUGGAGUGUGGCAGAGGAGACUGGAAUUCCGUGGUGUAGCAGUGAAAUGCGUAGAUAUCAGGAGGAAUACCGAUGGCGAAGGCAGGUCUCUGGGGCUGACACUGACGCUCAUGCACGAAAGCGUGGGGGAGCAAACAGGAU
rnacentral:rRNA from 1 species